rnacentral:rRNA from 1 species
GAUGAACGCUAGCGGCAGGCCUAACACAUGCAAGUCGAGGGGUGGAGGUUGCUUGCAACCUUGAGACCGGCGCACGGGUGCGUAACGCGUAUGCAAUCUGCCUUGUACUGAGGGAUAGCCCGGAGAAAUUUGGAUUAAUACCUCAUAGUAUCUUUUCCCGGCAUCGGGAGAUUAUUAAAGUUCCAACGGUACAAGAUGAGCAUGCGUCCCAUUAGCUAGUUGGUAUGGUAACGGCAUACCAAGGCAAUGAUGGGUAGGGGUCCUGAGAGGGAGAUCCCCCACACUGGUACUGAGCAACGGACCAGACUCCUACGGGAGGCAGCAGUGAGGAAUAUUGGUCAAUGGGCGCAAGCCUGAACCAGCCAUGCCGCGUGCAGGAUGAAGCAUCUAUGGUGUGUAAACUGCUUUUAUACGGGAAGAAACACCGGUUCGUGAACCGGCUUGACGGUACCGUAAGAAUAAGGAUCGGCUAACUCCGUGCCAGCCGCCGCCGUAAAAC